rnacentral:lncRNA from 1 species
CAAGCAUCUAGCUGACCUAAUUAAAAGCUCAUUACACUAGCCCAUCCCCAUUAACAGGCUGACCCACGUGCAAAUCCAUUAACGCAGGAUUCUUCCCUGCUUCCCAAAUCAGGAAUCCCAGCCGCAGCCCCGGGGCCUGGAAACUCCGGCCAGUUUAUUAAAGUGCCUUCCCCGCCUGUGACCAUCAGGCAAAGGGAGAAUCUUGCUGGGAAUCUCGCUUCUAGCCAAUGAGGAAUUUUCAGAAAAGCGAAAUGGAAUGCAUCAUUUUGACAUCUCUGCAGAUCUGUAUUCCGAAAGGUACUCAGAUAUCCACGAAGUCCUCCUCAUCUCACACCAUCGUUUCUCUCACUGGGCACAAUCCAGCUUUAAAGAAUUCAACACUUACUGGUCUUCAGAGGACUGUCAGCAAUGACAGCAACCAGGGAUGCUGACAUGUCUUGUUGUUUACAAAGGAUGAGCACAAGGCCUUUUGGAUAACCUGAUAAGCCCUGCAACUCCUCUCUCCCUGUUCCUCACCUCUCUGGACCAGCUGCCUUUGUGUGGAAGGGAAUCCUGGGAAGUUGGACCUCCUUUCUCCUUUUCCUUUUGCUGCCUUUCAGUGUUGAAUACAUGGAAGGAAGGAAA